rnacentral:tRNA from 1 species
GCCCCUAUAGCUUAACGGAAAAAGUGCUGGUCUUCGGAACCAGUGAUCCGGGUUCGAAUCCUGGUAGGGGCA